AGAUGAACAAUGUAUUUAUUGCAUUUGGUGGCAAAUGCUUCGGCAUAGGUUUGUGGGCAGUCACACUGUCCAGUGCUUUGAAUUGUAACUCUAUUUAUUUUUGGUAAGGCUUGGCACUCUAUAUUCCUCAACACAGAAUAUUUUAUUAGUUAAAACUUUUGAUAUUUUGACUAAUUCCUUUGUGCCUAUUUGUUGUUUGUUAUCUCAUUUUGAAACACACUGCAUAUUUUUGAACACUAUACUUUUCAUAAGUCAGAAAUUCUGUCCCUGAACUGUACGUUCAGGUGAAAAUUUCUUGUCCUUGUGAUUCAAAGUCUUCAUCUUACUUUUAAUUUAUCCAUUACUUUGUCAUUACUCAUUUGUCAUUACUUUUGUAAUAGAGUCAGAUUUUCAAAAAUAGAUUGUAUGUAGGGGGGGCGAAAAACGCAGAGCUACACAGAGCCUCUAGGAUCUGCCUAGAGAAUGCUCCUCUGCUUGAUACGUGCUAGGCAUUUGUUUACCUGACAGUCCUUUAACUUCUGCAACUGCUAAUUGUACUUACCCGUACAUGCAGUUACCCAGUUUAUGUUGCAGUUAUGCUAAUUAAAGCACUUGGCUCCCCAUACAGUAUGAACAUGUAUGCAAACCUACAAAGUUUUAAGGAAUAGUCCUACACUGCAUCUUUUUCAGGGAUAAUAUAGGAAAACAAAUUACCUACUAUCACUAUUAGUAUUACCAACAUUCAGCUGAGAGCAAGGUAGGUGUAGAAGCUUUGGAAGUGUAGGCAGAAGGUAUCACAUAUGAUAGAACUGUUAUGGAAAAUCUGUGCUCCAAACACAAUGAAACAUAUAUUGCAGAACUAUAAAGGGGAGGUAUCACUAUGAAACCAAACAAGAAAAAUGGGACAAACUGUAUCAGGUUCUCAGAUGUGAUCAUAGGCAUUGCAAUAGCUUUUAUUUUUACUAAUGUUCUAUUAUUAUAAUCCUCAUUAACUUUUUCUUUUUUUUUAUAACUUUCAUCCUAGUGAUAGACUCGCUACC
rnacentral:lncRNA from 1 species